rnacentral:lncRNA from 1 species
GUAUCACAUAACUUCCAUUAUAAGCGGGAGAGCUGGAUGUGCUUGUUAGCACACCAUGCUAACAAGCGUAUCUAGCUCUCACAGGACAGACAUUGCUAGAGGCAGACUCAGUACAGCCCUUGCAAGGAAGAGUUACGAGCAAAAUGUUGUUAUAAAAUGGAAUCAAGCUAAAAUUGUUAAGCCUCUAAGAGAAGAUCUUGGUCUCAGCACUGCAGAAGCUAUUGAAAUAGAGAAAAGAAAAUGUCUUAUUCCAGUGGUCAAUGAUAACCAACCAGUAGACCUCCCAUCGGCUUGGGCUUGGUGUGCUAACAAGCAU